rnacentral:rRNA from 1 species
UACGUAGGGUGCGAGCGUUGUCCGGAAUUAUUGGGCGUAAAGAGCUCGUAGGCGGUUUGUCGCGUCGGCCGUGAAAACUUGGGGCUUAACCCCAAGCCUGCGGUCGAUACGGGCAGACUUGAGUUCGGCAGGGGAGACUGGAAUUCCUGGUGUAGCGGUGAAAUGCGCAGAUAUCAGGAGGAACACCGGUGGCGAAGGCGGGUCUCUGGGCCGUUGCUGACGCUGAGGCGCGACAGCGUGGGGAGCAAACAGG